rnacentral:lncRNA from 1 species
AGUGCGUGGUUUCCUCCUGCUGACCCUGAGACUUACGACGAAUUGCGGAUAGCAGGAAGGCUGAUUGUUGGGGAGCCAGUAUUUUCUAUUAUGAAGCAGAGAACUCUUAAGGAGUGGAGUGGAUGAUGGUAAUUACCAAAAGAGAGGACAAAGUCCUUGGGAUCUGCCACACAGAAGAAAGAAAAACAUGGGAAAGACUCCCAGCUGAGAGCAGCCUGGGCCUAUGCCUGGUCUCUUUUUGGAAGAGGUAGAUAGUGCUGGAAGGCGUGCUAGGUACACCGCAAAGACUCCACAGCAAAUCCUGCACACAAAAUCGCGAAUGCUGCAGCCGAGACCCCACGCAAGCAAGCACCGCAGGAGACGUGGGCUGACAGCUGCGCCCCACGUGACCUCCCACCCGCGCCAGUCCGUCCCCUCGGUAUCAGGGCGUGGCCUCGCGGGGCGGCCGUACCUGGAUUGGCCGGGAGGCGGGACCGGU